rnacentral:lncRNA from 1 species
UAGCUAUCUGGCCAAAAGGAAAAAAUAGCAAUUCAGUGGUUAAUUGGUGAAAGCAGGAAAUGUAUGCCCUUUACUGUGCUGCUGCUGCUGCUGCUGCUGCUGCUUUGGUCUUCUUAGUUUUGUUCUUUUUGUCUCUCUUCUUCAGCCCAUCCAUGUUAGCUCUAAGGAGGUUUGAAUAAGCCUGAAAGAUACAACAGAGCAUACCUUAGUGGGAAGAUGUGCAAACUGGCAGAACACCAGCCCUAUCUGCAUAAUGGAUUUAGGGUAGCCAAAAAUCAGGAAAGAAUAUAGCACCAUUGGACACUUGUACCGGAAAAUGGUAUAAGCAUAAAACACUCUUUCACAUUAUAGCAGCUUCUGCAACACCCACA